rnacentral:rRNA from 1 species
UACGAAGGGGGCUAGCGUUGUUCGGAAUUACUGGGCGUAAAGCGCACGUAGGCGGAUUAGUAAGUCAGGGGUGAAAUCCCGGGGCUCAACCUCGGAGCUGCCUUUGAUACUGCUGAUCUCGAGUCCGGAAGAGGUGAGUGGAAUUCCUAGUGUAGAGGUGAAAUUCGUAGAUAUUAGGAAGAAUACCAGUGGCGAAGGCGGCUCACUGGUCCGGUACUGACGCUGAGGUGCGAAAGCGUGGGUAGCAAACAGG